UGCAGUCGAGCGGUAGAGAGAAGCUUGCUUCUCUUGAGAGCGGCGGACGGGUGAGUAAUGCCUAGGAAUCUGCCUGGUAGUGGGGGAUAACGUUCGGAAACGGACGCUAAUACCGCAUACGUCCUACGGGAGAAAGCAGGGGACCUUCGGGCCUUGCGCUAUCAGAUGAGCCUAGGUCGGAUUAGCUAGUUGGUGGGGUAAUGGCUCACCAAGGCGACGAUCCGUAACUGGUCUGAGAGGAUGAUCAGUCACACUGGAACUGAGACACGGUCCAGACUCCUACGGGAGGCAGCAGUGGGGAAUAUUGGACAAUGGGCGAAAGCCUGAUCCAGCCAUGCCGCGUGUGUGAAGAAGGUCUUCGGAUUGUAAAGCACUUUAAGUUGGGAGGAAGGGUUGUAGAUUAAUACUCUGCAAUUUUGACGUUACCGACAGAAUAAGCACCGGCUAACUCUGUGCCAGCAGCCGCGGUAAUACAGAGGGUGCAAGCGUUAAUCGGAAUUACUGGGCGUAAAGCGCGCGUAGGUGGUUAGUUAAGUUGGAUGUGAAAUCCCCGGGCUCAACCUGGGAACUGCAUUCAAAACUGACUGACUAGAGUAUGGUAGAGGGUGGUGGAAUUUCCUGUGUAGCGGUGAAAUGCGUAGAUAUAGGAAGGAACACCAGUGGCGAAGGCGACCACCUGGACUGAUACUGACACUGAGGUGCGAAAGCGUGGGGAGCAAACAGGAUUAGAUACCCUGGUAGUCCACGCCGUAAACGAUGUCAACUAGCCGUUGGGAGCCUUGAGCUCUUAGUGGCGCAGCUAACGCAUUAAGUUGACCGCCUGGGGAGUACGGCCGCAAGGUUAAAACUCAAAUGAAUUGACGGGGGCCCGCACAAGCGGUGGAGCAUGUGGUUUAAUUCGAAGC
rnacentral:rRNA from 1 species